GGGGUUAGGGACUGGACAGGUCAGUAGCAGACAGGGGGUUAAGGACUGGACAGGUCAGUAGCAGACAGGGGGUUAGGGUUAGGACUGGACAGGUCAGUAGCAGACAGGGGGUUAGGGUCUGGACAGGUCAGUAGCAGACAGGGGUUUAGGGUUAGGACUGGACAGGACAGGUCAGUAGCAGACAGGGGGUUAGGGACUGGACAGGUCAGUAUCAGACAGGGGGUUAAGGACUGGACAGGUCAGUAGCAGACAGGGGGUUAGGGUUAGGACUGGACAGGUCAGUAGAGGAAGAGCAGGAACCAGGAGAGGAUGGAGAUUGAUAGACAUCCCAUCUCUGUCUCUCUCUCUCAC
ensembl:lncRNA